AAGUCGUAACAAGGUUUCCGUAGGUGAACCUGCGGAAGGAUCAUUAUAAAAAUUUUCUACAUAUUUUUUAAAUAUGUAAAAAAAAAAAUCUUGUAUUCAAAACCACGCUCUUAUAAAAAACCAUAAUAAAAAAAUUUGCAUAAAAUUUUUAUAUAUAUAAAUUAUAUAUAAUAUAAUUAAAAGACAACUUUCAACAACGGAUCUCUUGGCUCUC
rnacentral:misc_RNA from 1 species